GAGGGUUGCUGGCUGUUGCCAGGGCAACUGGAAGCGAUUGGCGGUUAUCCGCGGUUUGAAGCUGUUAGGCAGUAGAGUCCGGGAUGCUCAGAGGUGAGUAAAAAGAAAAAAGGCACCCGUCCUCCCCACUACCUAGCAGUGACUUCAAUUUGUCAGUGAAUUGAAGAGACAGAGAUGAAGCGGACGCAGCACGUGAAGACAAUUCUUUCAAGAAGUUUGGCUGUAAAGGAAAAGAUAAAGCACAAAGAAACAAGGAAAAGCUAAACCUCUGGGUGUGAAACUAAACAUCACGAAGAGAUGUAUGCAAGGAGAAGACAGCAGAUACCAGAGGCUCAACGAUGUCGUGUGAAUAGAGGGCACAUGCCUUUAACCCUCACUUUGUUCUUACCAUCGUCAGAAUCCCAGGCAGGAAAGAGCACAUGGGCCAAGAUUGUGUAACCAGCCCUAUGGCACAGCUUCCCUUUAAAGGAAUCAAGCAACUCACCAAUGUGUUCCUCUUCCACCUCCUCAAAGCCCACUUGCCUGGCUGGCUGUCAAGGUUGGGCCUCCAAGCCAUCAACCCAUGGAGGGUGGAAAAAACCACCCUACUAACUCUAACACUUCAUCCAACCACAUUUCCCCACUUAUACUACAUGUCUACUCUUUCCUUUGCUCAUUCUCUUACCCUUCACCCCUCCUUCCCGUGGCCACUUCACUGAUCAUCCACGAGUACUUCAACAAGUCCUUCAUAGUCCUCUCCUUCCCCAGCCUGACAGAGGCUGCAUGGCAUAUUAGAAACAGCAUGGGCUUUGGACUAUAAAAGGGUAGGUUUGACUCUUGGCUCUGUAUUAAUGAGCUUUAUGACCUUGAACACAUUAUCAUGAGACUUCUAGGCCUUAGAUUCCUUGUUUUCUAUCCAUCUUCUAAUCUGUGCUUCCUCACUUUUAAAAAUAAAUGAUUUUAG